AACAUCGCAACAUUUGACCGGAGACAGAUGGAAAACGGCAGGGUUGCAGUUCUUUUGAAGGGGGAGGUCCUUUGGCCUUGAGUUGGUCUCUUAGACAGGGUUUCCUGGGCUCCACACUCUGAGAUGGAAAUUUUCAUGAAGCAGUCUGUUGGGAAGUGGUCUAUCGGGGCGUGCUUGUGUAGCAACACGUGGAAGGGAGUGAAGAAAACAGGAUUUGGCAAAGGGAGAAGCUGAACUAUGAGUCACUUACUUCAGAUGCGUCAGCCAAUGCCACGGAAAGCUCUGAAACUAGAAUGGAACUCCAGAGAUGUCCCAAAUUCAAGCAAGAAGGCUGGACUUUUGUAUCCCCGUGUUAAUCAAUCUUUGGACAUGGGCUACCCCAGGAAGGUGGGUCAGGCACUUCCCCUGCGGGUCAUGUUGCUGCUCCAUCUAAUUAUCGUCUGGCGGCCAGCAGAGGAAAUGGUAAAUCCUGAAGCGGUGGUGAGACGACCCCUGCAUUAUCUUCAAGCCGUCAAGCCAGGGAGGAAUAAUAACCCCGGACAGAGAGGAAUCUGAGUUUGCAAGCCGUCAAGUGCAUUGACCUCUUUGUCCUCAACCAAAUCUGAGGUCACCAAUCCUUUCCAAACUCAGCCAUGAUGUUGGCAGAGCAGAUUUGCCAGGUUCUUCUCGGGGGCCCCACUACCCUUAUAUUUAAAUCCUUAGUCUAAUUCUCAUCUUUUCCUGCCCCCCUGCUGCAGGAAAUGAGAGCCCCUCUGUAUGCUGCAAAGGGGGAGCCCUGCUUUCACACUUUGCCUAAAUUAAUGAUGAUGUUUACCGUCUUACUGCAAAGCAUAGAUUGUACUCAUCAGGAACCAGCCAGUUUCAUUACUCUCAUAAUGACUUCUCCAACCUCUCAAAUGCCUGAGAAACUGCACCUGCCAGUUGCUUCCUCCUCCUCCUACUCUGUCCUUUUGUGCUAAUGCCAGGGGCUAGCCCUACUCCACCUCCCACCGGUAAGGAGGACUUUACUGAUAGCCUGCUGGUGUGACCUGCACGUAUAUAUCCAGAUGGCCUGAAGUAACUGAAGAAUCACAGAGGAAGUGAAAUUUAAAUGGCCUG
rnacentral:lncRNA from 1 species